CGACUCAUCCAUCCUUAAGAUCUCUUCAUGGCCACCCAUAAAAAGAAGAUUGGGGAGUGGGUUGAUCAUCGUUAAAAGAUAACACAUAUACACAUUGCAACAAGGAACUCGAGAGCCCAGCCAAUGAAACUGCUAGAGGUAACGUUGUUGAUGCACGUGUAGAGGCUGCAACACCUAACGAACGGUCAAGGAUGUUAGAAAAGAAGUUUUAAGAAUUUUAAAGACAAAUGGUGGCUAUGAUGGCGAUUUCUUCUACUGCCCUUCUUAGUAUCCAUCCUUAUUACGAUGCUGAAUUUGGCGAUCACUCGAUGAUCAAAAACAAAGAUGAGUGAUGGAUUUGAUGGUUUGUUUUAUAUUUGAUAUAUUUUGAUGGUUAUUGAUUAUAGACAAUAUUUUGAUAGUUUAUUUGAAUACCUUGUUUGUUUUGAUGGUUUAUUUGAAGACUUGGUUUAUUUUGAUGGGUGUAGGUUUUCUAAUAUGAAUCCAUAUUUUUAUGGAUUAUAUGAAUAGAUAUGGAUUACUUGAA